rnacentral:rRNA from 1 species
AUUGAACACUGGCGGCAGGCUUAACACAUGCAAGUCGAACGAGUGGCGGACGGGUGAGUAAUGCUUGGGAAUCUGGCUUAUGGAGGGGGAUAACUACGGGAAACUGUAGCUAAUACCUCGUACCAACUGAUGAUCCCAAGUGGGAUUAGGUAGUUGGUAAGGUAAAGGCUCACCAAGCCGACGAUCUCUAGCUGGUCUGAGAGGAUGACCAGCCACACUGGGACUGAGACACGGCCCAGAAUCCUACGGGAGGCAGCAGUGGGGAAUAUUGCGCAAGUGGGGCAACCUGACGCAGCCAUGCCGCGUGAAUGAAGAAGGCCUUCGGGUUGUAAAGUUCUUUCGGUAGAGAGGCGUUAACUACAGAAGAAGCACCGGCUAACUCCGUGCCAGCAGCCGCGGUAAUUC